GCCAGAAGUAGUUAGCCUAACCGCAAGGGGAGGGCGACUUACCGACGGCGAGGGUUACGUGACUGGGGUG
rnacentral:rRNA from 1 species